GAGAGUUAAACAGUACGUGAAAUUGUUGAAAGGGAAACGAUUGAAGCCAGUCGUACCUAUGGGUAAUCAGCCUUUUGGGUGUGAUUUUGUGGAGCGUGAGGAGUUAAACGCCUUCAUGCCUGCAUAUUCGUGCACUUUGGGUGUACUUGCCCGUGUGUAAGUUAACAUCAAUUUUGGUGGUCAUAAAAUGGCUGGAGGAAUGUAGCUUCGAUCUUGUAUUGAAGUGUUAUAGCCUUCGGUAGAUGUGACGAUCGGGAUUGAGGAUUGCAACGGAUACCCUUCGGGGCUACCUGUCUGAUCUCUGAUUGUUGCUCUGGUGCCGAAAGCUUGCUUACGGUUAUCAAAGUCGAUGUUCAAUAGGUUAGAAUGGGUUAAAUUCGUUAAGGAUGUUGACGUAAUGGCUUUAAACGA
rnacentral:rRNA from 1 species